UAACUGGAGUAAAAAUGUUGCUGGAGGAAAUAAUAAUCAUUUAAAAGAAAACACUGAUUUACUAUUUUCUUCACAGGGUGAAACUGGAAACUCAGAACUGAACAUGAUCAGCCUCGUUGACUGUGGCAGAAGCAGGAUGUUCCUCUGUCCUCUUCUCACAGGCCCUCUUUUCUGCUGGCUUUGUGUAGGGCAGCUUACCUGGUAUACUGGGAAUUGAACUCAAGACCUUGCACUUGCCAGGCAGGUGUGGUGCCACUGAGCUACAUCGCCACCUCGACAAAGACUAACUUUGGCUUGAUAGGUAAUAAACAGAAACUAUGUGAUAUAUUGUUUCAAAGUUACAUGUAGCAUACAAAGAAUUAAAAGCAUUCUGCUUUGAAACUAAUAACUAAGUUGUAAAUAUGACAGAUAACAAUAG
rnacentral:lncRNA from 1 species